GUUAGGGAGAUAAUGAAAAUCGUUACUACAUACCAUUAGUUAAAAUUAAAAUUAAUUUGAAUCUAUAAAAAAAUUACCAUUUUUCGGGCAAUUAACGAAUUACGUCAUAUAUAAAGGAUACAGAUAAAAAACCAGAAAAAAUCACUUUUUUUUCCAAAAUAGUGAUAUUAAUAUCAAACAAAUUGUAUUGAUUUACUGUAUCGCACAAACGUACAACCGAAGCAACGAAAAUAACAGAUAAGUCAAAAGUUAUGAGUUAAAUAAA